rnacentral:rRNA from 1 species
GACGAACGCUGGCGGCGUGCCUAAUACAUGCAAGUAGAACGCUGAAGGAGGAGCUUGCUUCUCCGGAUGAGUUGCGAACGGGUGAGUAACGCGUAGGUAACCUGCCUGGUAGCGGGGGAUAACUAUUGGAAACGAUAGCUAAUACCGCAUAAGAGUAGAUGUCGCAUGACAUUUGCUUAAAAGGUGCAACUGCACCACUACCAGAUGGACCUGCGUUGUAUUAGCUAGUUGGGGAGGUAACGGCUCACCAAGGCAACGAUACAUAGCCGACAUGAGAGGGGUAUCCGCCACACUUCCACUGCGACGCGGCCCGGACUCCUACGGGAGGCGGCAGUAGUGAAUCGUCGGCAAUGGACGGCAGUCUGACCGGGCGACGCCGCGUGUGUGUAUAAGGUUUUCGGGUCGUCAAGCUCUGUUGUGAGGGAAGAACGGGUGUGGGAGUGGAAAGUGCACACUGUGACGGUAUCUUACCAGAAAGGGACGGCUAACUACGUG